rnacentral:rRNA from 1 species
AUUACCUCAGUAACGGCGAGUGAAGCGGUAACAGCUCAAAUUUGAAAGCUAGCUCUUUUAGGGUUCGCAUUGUAAUUUGUAGAAGAUGCUUCGGGUGUGGCCCCGGUCUAAGUUCCUUGGAACAGGACGUCAUAGAGGGUGAGAAUCCCGUAUGUGACUGGGUGCUUUCGCUCAUGUGAAGCUCUUUCGACGAGUCGAGUUGUUUGGGAAUGCAGCUCAAAAUGGGUGGUAAAUUUCAUCUAAAGCUAAAUAUUGGCCAGAGACCGAUAGCGCACAAGUAGAGUGAUCGAAAGAUGAAAAGCACUUUGGAAAGAGAGUUAAACAGUACGUGAAAUUGUUGAAAGGGAAGCGCUUGCAACCAGACUUGCGCGCUGAUGAUCAUCCGGGCUUCUGUCCGGUGCACUCGUCUGCGCUCAGGCCAGCAUCGGUUUCGGUGGUGGGAUAAAGGCCUUGGGAAUGUAGCUCCUCUCGGGGAGUGUUAUAGCCCUCGGUGCAAUGCCGCCUACCGGGACCGAGGACCGCGCUUCGGCUAGGAUGCUGGCGUAAUGGUUGUAAGCGACCCGUCUUGAAACACGGACCAAGGAGUCUAACAUCUAUGCGAGUGUUUGGGUGUCAAACCCAUACGCGUAAUGAAAGUGAACGGAGGUGAGAACCCUUAAGGGUGCAUCAUCGACCGGUCCUGAUGUCUUCGGAUGGAUCUGAGUAAGAGCAUAGCUGUUGGGACCCGAAAGAUGGUGAACUAUGCGUGAAUAGGGUGAAGCCAGAGGAAACUCUGGUGGAGGCUCGCAGCGGUUCUGACGUGCAAAUCGAUCGUC